rnacentral:rRNA from 1 species
GACGUAGGGCGCGAGCGUUUGUCCGGAUUAUUGGGCGUAAAGAGCUCGUAGGCGGCUUGUUGCGUCGACUGUGAAAACCCGCGGCUUAACCGCGGGCUUGCAGUUGAUACGGGCAGGCUAGAGUUCGGUAGGGGAGACUGGAAUUCCUGGUGUAGCGGUGAAAUGCGCAGAUAUCAGGAGGAACACCGGUGGCGAAGGCGGGUCUCUGGGCCGAUACUGACGCUGAGGAGCGAAAGCGUGGGGAGCGAACAGG